rnacentral:tRNA from 3 species
GCCGCUAUCGUCUAGCCCGGUCUAGGACACUGCGUUCUCAGCGCAGGAACACCGGUUCAAAUCCGGUUAGCGGUACUA